UUGACCGCGCUUUAUAUGCGGCGCGCUUGCUGCACUGCGCUUCAUUCUGAGAGCGACGUCGUGAAGCGAAGGACAACGCGAAAGCCUCUUGUGUGUUUGUAGAGAGAGACAGAAAACAACGAUUCAUCAUGUCUGACAAACCAGAUCUUGCGGAAGUCACAAAGUUUGACAAGAGCAAGUUGAAGAAGACUGAGACACAGGAGAAAAAUACGCUACCAACAAAAGAUACCAUAGAGCAGGAAAAGAACGCGUAACAAGUUUGUGUUACUAAAGACAAUGGCAAAGGCGCUGUUUUAUUGGCAUUCUCAUGAAACAAUAUCACAAACAAUGGACCAAAAUUCAGUGACCUUUAAAGCUUCAAGCUACAACGUGUUGGUCUCUUAGCAACAUUCCUUUCGCUUCUAGACAUUCUGUAACUUCUGGGAACGAAAAAUGAUCACUAUGGAAACGUGAUGCGUCACUAAGGAACCUAAUGCUUUCAUUCAAUAUGGGAACGUGAUCUUACACAAUGGAAACAACGACUGUCACCACGGAAACAAGCACUUUAAGGUUGAAAACGAGGCUUUCAAAAGGUCAAGGUUAAUUUUGAAUGAUUCAAAUUCGAAUCAUUUCAGAUAGUAGAUUUUGUCAUUCAUUCAGAAAUUUCCCUGACUGGUCGGGUUAUUCAACAUCCACGUGAUGUGGUUUUAUUCCACCAGUAAACACCCGUGUUGGUUAAUUGAAAAACUGACUGCUCUUGUGAAGAUAUGUAGAACGGCUCUCUAAUUUAUCAGACGACUUUGGAUUUCCCGCAGUUUUGGAAACCAGUUUGUAAACCCCGAACCGAGACCACCGUGCAAUGUAUGCUUGUAGAUCGCUAACAGUUGAUAUAGUUAUAGUAGUUUUUGUUGUAGUAUCGUUAUUUACUUAUUAUGCAAAUCUAACCACUGUGCUCAAGAUUAUACUUAGUGAUGUGAUCGUUUAAGUACUAAAUCCAUGACCAAUUUUGGAACCCAUGAAAUACUUAUGAAAACCUGCCCGUUUUGAAUUAAUGUCCAUCUUUGUUAAUUUUUGUGAAGA